rnacentral:rRNA from 1 species
UAUUAUUAUACAUGUAAAUUAAAUAUUUUAAAUAUUUAUAGUUAUGUUCUUAAAACUUAAAGAAAUUGACGGUAUUUUAGUCUUUUCAGAGGAAUCUGUUCUAUAAUUGAUAAUACACGAGUUGAACUUACUUUAUUUUAUAUAGUUUGUAUAUCGUUGUCGUAAAUUUGUCUUGGAAAAGUUUAUUUUUAAAUAUAAUUAUUAAUUGUUAUGUCAAAUCAAGAUGCAGCUUAUAAUAAAGAAGAAAUGGAUUACAAUUUUAUAGUAAACGAAUAAAUUAUUUAAAAAAUUAUUGAAGAUGGAUUUGAUUGUAAAUUUAUUAAUUGGUAUAUUGAUUUAAGCUCUAUAAUAUGUACAUAUCGCCCGUCGCUCCUGUUAACAAAAUGGG